UGCGCAGGCGGGAUCGUAAGUGUCUUGUGAAAUCCCGGGGCUCAACCCCGGAAGUGCUUGGCAAACUGCGAUUCUUGAGGCAAGUAGAGGCAAUCGGAACUGUAGGUGUAGCGGUGAAAUGCGUAGAUAUCUACAGGAACACCAAAGGUGAAGACAGGUUGCUGGGCUUGUUCUGACGCUCAUGCACGAAAGCGUGGGGAGCAAACAGGAUUAGAUACCCUGGUAGUCC
rnacentral:rRNA from 1 species